UACGGGAGGCAGCAGUGGGGAAUAUUGCACAAUGGGCGCAAGCCUGAUGCAGCCAUGCCGCGUGUAUGAAAAAGGCCUUUCGGGUUGUAAAGUACUUUCAGUCGUGAGGAAGGUGUUAAGGUUAAUAACCUUAGCAAUUGACGUUAGCGACAGAAGAAGCACCGGCUAACUCCGUGCCAGCAGCCGCGGUAAUACGGAGGGUGCGAGCGUUAAUCGGAAUUACUGGGCGUAAAGGGCACGCAGGCGGUUAAUUAAGUUGGAUGUGAAAUCCCGGGCUUAACCUGGGAAUGGCAUUCAAGACUGGUUAGCUAGAGUCUUGUAGAGGGGGUAGAAUUCCAUGUGUAGCGGUGAAAUGCGUAGAGAUGUGGAGGAAAUACCGGUGGCGAAAGGCGGCCCCUGGACAAAAGACUGACGCUCAUGUGCGAAAGCGUGGGGAGCAAACAGGGAUUAGAGUACC
rnacentral:rRNA from 1 species